CAGGACGAACGCUGGCGGCGUGCCUAAUACAUGCAAGUCGAACGCACUGACGUCGACAGAAGGUGCUUGCACUGGAAGUUGAUUGACGUGAGUGGCGGACGGGUGAGUAACACGUGGGUAACCUGCCCUUAAGCGGGGGAUAACAUUUGGAAACAGAUGCUAAUACCGCAUAAAAGUUGAGAUCACAUGGUCUUAAUUUGAAAGACGGCCUUUGGCUGUCACUUAAGGAUGGACCCGCGGCGUAUUAGCUAGUUGGUGAGAUAAUAGCCCACCAAGGCGAUGAUACGUAGCCGACCUGAGAGGGUAAUCGGCCACAUUGGGACUGAGACACGGCCCAAACUCCUACGGGAGGCAGCAGUAGGGAAUCUUCCACAAUGGACGAAAGUCUGAUGGAGCAACGCCGCGUGAGUGAAGAAGGUUUUCGGAUCGUAAAACUCUGUUGUUGGAGAAGAACAGGGACUAGAGUAACUGUUAGUCCUUUGACGGUAUCCAACCAGAAAGCCACGGCUAACCACGUGCCAGCAGCCGCGGUAAUACGUAGGUGGCAAGCGUUGUCCGGAUUUAUUGGGCGUAAAGCGAGCGCAGGCGGUUUCUUAAGUCUGAUGUGAAAGCCUUCGGCUUAACCGAAGAAGUGCAUCAGAUACUGGGAAACUUGAGUGCAGAAGAGGAAAGUGGAACUCCAUGUGUAGCGGUGAAAUGCGUAGAUAUAUGGAAGAACACCAGUGGCGAAGGCGGCUUUCUGGUCUGUAACUGACGCUGAGGCUCGAAAGUAUGGGGAGCGAACAGGAUUAGAUACCCUGGUAGUCCAUACCGUAAACGAUGAAUGCUAAGUGUUGGAGGGUUUCCGCCCUUCAGUGCUGCAGCUAACGCAUUAAGCAUUCCGCCUGGGGAGUACGACCGCAAGGUUGAAACUCAAAGGAAUUGACGGGGGCCCGCACAAGCGGUGGAGCAUGUGGUUUAAUUCGAAGCUACGCGAAGAACCUUACCAGGUCUUGACACCUAGCGCCAAUCCUAGAGAUAGGACGUUCCCUUCGGGGACGCUAAGACAGGUGGUGCAUGGUUGUCGUCAGCUCGUGUCGUGAGAUGUUGGGUUAAGUCCCGCAACGAGCGCAACCCUUAUGAUUAGUUGCCAGC
rnacentral:rRNA from 1 species